AUGUCGCGCUUCGAGAAGGCCGUCCUCCUCUGCUUGGCCCUGUUCGCCGCAUGGCACCUCUGCUCGACCCUGUUCGCCGACGCGCCUCCUCGUCCUGGUGGCCACUCUGCGGAGGAGAAAGCUGUAGUCAGCGGCGCGGCCGGGAACGCGUCGGGCCUGAGUCUCGCAAGGGAGGCCGGCGUCCGGGCGGCGGACGGAGCGGGGAGCAACUUCGUCAUCUCGCCGCUGUCCAUCCACGCGGCGCUCGCGUUGGUUGCCGCCGGCGCGCGGGGCGUCACACAGACGGAGCUCCUGGGGCUCCUCGGGUCAGCGUCGCUCGACGAGCUGCACCGCGCGCCGACGAUCAAACUGGUGGGCAGGCUCAACGGCCUGACGCAGACGUCCUUCGCCUGCGGCGUGUGGGUCGACCGGAGGCAGGCGCUCAGGCCGGAGUUCAUGGCCACCGGCGCGUCGCGGUACGGCGCCACGGCCGAAUCUGUGGACUUCGUGUUGGAGGCCGAGCAGGCGAGGCGGCGCGUGAACGCCUUCGUGGCGAACGUGACGAAGCAGCUCAUCCUCGACGUCCUCCCUCCCGGCUCCGUCCACUCGUCCACGGCGGUCGUCCUCGCCAACGCGCUCUACUUCAAAGGAGCAUGGUCCCAGCCGUUCGACGUCUUCACCGCGCCGUUCCACAUCCCGGGCGGCAGCACCGUGGGCGUGCCGUCCAUGAAGACGUACCAGUCACAGUACAUCGCGCUCUACCCCGGCUUCAGGGCCCUCAAGCUGCCCUACAAGAAUGAAGUGGAUCAGCAAGCUGCAUUCUACAUGCUUAUCCUUCUCCCGGACAGCUACACUCUCAGUCUCGCCUAUCUCUACGACAAGGCGGCGUCGACACCAGAGUUCAUCAAGAAGCACACGCCCGCAAGGAAGGUUCCAGUCGG
rnacentral:rRNA from 1 species